CUGCUAGGCGUAGGACUGGUGGUGGGGUGGAGGACGAAAUGAUGCUAACUGAGGUUGAGGAAAGGAUUGUUGCUUUGUGUGGUGGUGAAAGCUUUUCCACAGGAGAUGCACAUUUAGGCAUUCAGCCGUUUCCGGUAAGAAAUUCAGAAAUGCAAUUGGUAAGUAAUACUAGAAACACUCUGCAAGGUUUGCUGUCGUUUUUACAGCACCCAUUUUUUUGUGGAUUAGACCCUUUUUAGUGUUAAGUGAAUUUUAUAUUAAAUUUACCUUCCUGUUUCAGGAAAAUGAUACGCCGUCUCCAUCACCCGAAGCACAACCUAUAUACAAUACUAAUGAUGACAACAUUAAUGUACCACAACAACAGCAGAGUCAGGCACGGCCUACUGAGGAAUCAGCAGCUAUUGUAUUUUAUGAUUCCGCCCUGAUUGAGGACAGUCCAGCACCUCGAAAUUACAGACCACCAGCUAGUGCAAUUUCGAGAAAACUGUUUGCUUCCUCAUCCAGCUCCAUUGUUGGAACUAGCCAAAGCAUUUUACGGAAUAACCAGU